GACGAACGCUGGCGGCGUGCCUAAUACAUGCAAGUAGAACGCUGAGGAGAGGAGCUUGCUCUUCUUGGAUGAGUUGCGAACGGGUGAGUAACGCGUAGGUAACCUGCCUUGUAGCGGGGGAUAACUAUUGGAAACGAUAGCUAAUACCGCAUAACAAUGGAUGACACAUGUCAUUUAUUUGAAAGGGGCAAUUGCUCCACUACAAGAUGGACCUGCGUUGUAUUAGCUAGUAGGUGAGGUAAUGGCUCACCUAGGCGACGAUACAUAGCCGACCUGAGAGGGUGAUCGGCCACACUGGGACUGAGACACGGCCCAGACUCCUACGGGAGGCAGCAGUAGGGAAUCUUCGGCAAUAGGGGCAACCCUGACCGAGCAACGCCGCGUGAGUGAAGAAGGUUUUCGGAUCGUAAAGCUCUGUUGUAAGUCAAGAACGGGUGUGAGAGUGGAAAGUUCACACUGUGACGGUAGCUUACCAGAAAGGGACGGCUAACUACGUG
rnacentral:rRNA from 1 species